CAAGGUAGCUGUACCGGAAGGUGCGGCUG
rnacentral:rRNA from 1 species